rnacentral:tRNA from 1 species
CCGGUCUUAGCUCAGUGGUAGAGCGGGAGACUGUAGUGAACACUGUCAUCUCUAGGUCACUAGUUCAAAUCUGGUAGACCGGA